CAGCCGCCGCGGGAAUACAGAGGGUGCAAGCGUUAAUCGGAAUUACUGGGCGUAAAGCGCGCGUAGGUGGUUUGUUAAGUUGGAUGUGAAAUCCCCGGGCUCAACCUGGGAACUGCAUUCAAAACUGACUGACUAGAGUAUGGUAGAAGGUGGUGGAAUUUCCUGUGUAGUGGUGAAAUGCGUAGAUAUAGGAAGGAACACCAGUGGCGAAGGCGACCACCUGGACUAAUACUGACACUGAGGUGCGAAAGCGUGGGGAGCAAACAGGAUUAGAUACCCCGGUAGUCCCUGUCUCUUAUAC
rnacentral:rRNA from 1 species